rnacentral:tRNA from 1 species
AGUGUAGCUCAGUGGUAGAGCACAAACAAGUAUGAAGCCCUGGGUUCAAUCCCAGCACU